rnacentral:rRNA from 1 species
UACGGGGGGGGGCAAGCGGUUGUUCGGAAUUACUGGGCGUAAAGGGCGCGUAGGCGGUUCGCUAAGUCGGAUGUGAAAACUACUGGGCUCAACCCAGAGCCUGCAUCCGAAACUGGCGGGCUAGAGUUCUGGAGGGGGGUAGCGGAAUUCCUGGUGUAGCGGUGAAAAUGCGUAGAUAUCAGGGAGGAACACCCGGUGGCGAAGGCGGCUACCUGGACAGAAAACUGACGUGAGGCGCGAAACACUAGGGGGGAGCAAAACAGGG